rnacentral:tmRNA from 2 species
GGGGGCGAACUGGUUUCGACGUGCUUCUUGUGGGUACGGUGGGCGCGCCGGGUCCUGUCGGGACGACCCGUUAAAAACCUUCCGACACACUCCAUAAACGCCAACGAUAAUCUGGCGCUGGCGGCCUAACUAGGCCCCGGAGCGGGGGAAGGCGGUUUGGGCCUUCAGCGCCUCCCCGCUCCACGGAACUGAAGGUCUCCUGAUCCGACAGCCUUCGGUCGGAAUCUUGUACCUUGAAGGCUGGGCCUGGCCGGGGCUGCCUGCGGUCAACCGGUAGGCCGAGACACAAUCGCGGGAUACGCGCGUAGAACAUCGUGUCCGGGAUUCACGGACGGGGGUUCGAUUCCCCCCGCCUCCACCU